AGCGACGUAGUACGUAGCGAACCGAUAGGGACUCUGAGUGCCUCCUAAGGAGGCUGUUCAGAUGUUUAAAAAGCAUCUGGAGGAAGGGCUGGGUAAGACCGGUGCCAGCAGCCGCGGUAAUUGAUAUAUA
rnacentral:rRNA from 1 species